rnacentral:lncRNA from 1 species
AAAAUAUCUUGCCUAUUUUUAGUCAGUUAUAUAUAUCCCUAAUACCUGCUGAUAAUAUAACUCAGCAAGUGUUUGUGGAAUAGAUAAAUGAAUAAAAGAAUCUAUUUCAUGAACAACACAUGCAAUGCCUUUGCUAGUAUCAAUAUAUAUUGUAGAUGAAAUGUAUUUUUACAUUCCUAAGGCAAUAUCUCUUAUGCAAUGUUUAAAAGUUAUAUUUGUGUACCAGGAAAAUGUUUACCUCAGGUGUAGUUGAUUGGAGGAGGAAUCAUCAUCAGCUUGAGAGUCACCAAUAAAUAGAUCACUCAGAAUUCUAUGACCAUGGUCUGAAGAUGAACUGGAUCACUGAAUCAACUGGAUUUUUUUCUCAAGAAUUUGAAAUUGGGAAUGUGGCUUAGGAGUUGGGUUUGUCUCUGUUCAGACAUACCUGAAUAAGACUGAAGUUCUUUGUUUUCAUUCAUUCUUGCAUUAAGUCCACUUUUUACUUGAGCUGGUUUGAGUAUAUAUCUGUUAGAUGCCUUCAGAGCAACAAAUUACAACAUCUAAAAUUAGCAUUAAGUAAAAUACACAAAAAUAAUCAAACAUAGGAUAACCAAUUGCAGUCUCACAGAAGAACAGACUAAGAACUUUAAGAAGUAACAGAACUAUAGUUUGAAGAUAAAGUCUCUGAGUGUGAGAAACUUGAACAAUAAAAAAAUCACUACCUAGUAUGCCAUGCUUUUAUGAAAAGUAGAUUGUCUUUUUGAAGCAGUUGGGUGGGACUGACCAAUUGCUUAAAGGUACAAUACCAUGCCUCUGAAAGUACUAAUGACAGGAAAAUCUUCUAAGUAUGUCUACA